rnacentral:rRNA from 1 species
AGCCUGAACGCUGGCGGCGUGGCUAAGACAUGCAAGUCGUACGGAUGUAGCAAUACAUCAGUGGCGGACGGGUGAGUAAAGUAUCGCUAACGUACCCCUUCGUCUGGGAUAGCCGGGGGAAACUCCGGGUAAUACCAGAUGACAUGACCUCAAGGCAUCUUGAGGUUCUCAAAGGGCAAUCGCGAAGGGAGCGGGCGAUAUCGUAUCAGGUAGUUGGUGGGGUAACGGCCCACCAAGCCGACGACGCGUAGCUGGUCUGAGAGGACGGCCAGCCACAUUGGGACUGAGACACUGCCCAGACUCCUACGGGGGCUGCAGUAACGAAUCUUCCGCAAUGCACGCAAGUGUGACGGAGCGACGCCGCGUGUGGGACGAAGCCCUUCGGGGUGUAACCACUGUCAGGGGUUACCAAGUUCUGAGGAGCCCCAGAGGAAGGCACGGCUAACUCUGUGCCAGCAGCCGC